CCCAAGGGUCUGCGGGCCGCGGGGACUUGCUGGCGGGCCUGGAGGCGGGGGGGACAGGCUGACGCGUCGCCUCUGGGAGAACCGGGAGACCCGCGGCGAGCAGAGUUGAGGACCGGCCAGCGGGGCGUCCCGGGCUAGACCUGGGAGAUGUCCGAGUGACUGGGGGAGCCCCGGCCGUGCAAGCUUGAGAUACAGAUUGAACUUCAGACAAGGCCGGACUACCGUGUAAACCAGAGACAACUUUUCAUUUGAAUGAACAGAAUCACAGACUACAAUGAAAGGGGGAAAAAAAUGUAUCUUGACUGUGACAGUCCAUAGAAGCUGUCUUACCACUGUUGGAAUAUCAUAGAGACAAUCUCCUGUGCUGCCUCCCACUGGCUGAACCCGAGAGGAAGCCUAAGGGCAAGUGAGCCCUGAUGACGUUGUCCUUCAAGGCCAGCCUCCGGAAAAUGAUGGAGGGUAGAUCUGGAAGGACAAAGGCACAAUAUCUAGCAGUGAGCAUUGUGAUAGGGGAAGUAUGAGGAUCUGAGUGGCCGCCUGGGAGAAUAAUGGACUCCAUCUCCGGAGAUAAGGGAAGGCUUCAGGGGUGGAGGAAAGAAGGAAGAUUGAAGGAACAACAGAUCAUUUGCUCUGAUGGAAGCCAGCUGCCAUGUUGCAGCUGCCCUAAAGAGAGGUCCCCCAUGGCAAGAAGCUGAGGGAGAUCUCGAGUCAACAGCCAGCUGGGAACUGGGGCUUCAAUCCAAUAACCCAAGAACAAUUGAGACCUACCAACAGCCACAGGAUGGAGCUUGGCAGCAGAACGUUCUUCAGUUAAGCCUUCAGAAGAGACUGCAGUCCCUCUGGACGGUUUGACUAUAACUUCAUGAGAGACUUUGAGUCCAAACCACCCAACCAUGAUGGCCCCAAAUUUCUGACCCAUAGAAAUUGUGAGAUAUUUGUUGUAA